rnacentral:rRNA from 1 species
CAGUAGGGAGGAAGGUAGUGUAGUUAACACCUGCACUAUUUGACGUUACCUACAGAAGAAAGCACCGGCUAACUCCGUGCCAGCAGCCGCGGUAAUACGGAGGGUGCGAGCGUUAAUCGGAAUUACUGGGCGUAAAGCGCAUGCAGGCGGCCUGUUAAGUCAGAUGUGAAAGACCCGGGGCGUUAACCUCGGAAUUGCAUUUGAAACUAGGCAGGCUAGAGUCUUGUAGAGGGGGGUAGGAAUUUCAGGUGUAGCGGUGAAAUGCGUAGAGAUCUGAAGGAAUACCAGUGGCGAAGGCGGCCCCCUCGGACAAAGACUGACGCUCAGAUGCGAAAGCGUGGGGAGCAAACAGGAUUAGAUACCCUGGUAG